rnacentral:rRNA from 1 species
UACGUAGGGGGCAAGCGUUGUCCGGAAUCAUUGGGCGUAAAGAGCGUGUAGGCGGUCCGGUUAGUCGGCUGGGAAAGUCCAGGGCUCAACCCUGGGAUGCCGGUCGAUACUGCCGGACUCGAGUCCGGAAGAGGCGAGUGGAAUUCCUGGUGUAGCGGUGGAAUGCGCAGAUAUCAGGAGGAACACCUAUGGCGAAGGCAGCUCGCUGGGACGGUACUGACGCUGAGGCGCGAAAGCGUGGGGAGCAAACAGG